AUAUUUACAUCAGGUGAUGAGAAAUACAUCCAAAAAGAACCCUAACUCAAAGAACUUCCAAAAAGAUACUUAUCUCCCUAACCUGUCCCGACUAAUUCCUUGCCAUCAUCCAUCCAUCCAUCCAUCUAACCCGACUACACGGUCCAUCAUCCCCAAAAUGUUUCCGAUCACAUCAAACAACAAGCAUGACCCCUCCAUCUCUCUCCAUCAUCCACCACCUACCACCUACUCCUCCACAUCGCUCCCAUCACCUGCACCCGGGGUAUGAGGAAAUGAGAUCAGCUCUACCAGACGACCAUCCACUAGCACAAAAACGGCCAUGAAAUGGUACGAGAUCAAGUCAAGCUGUCCUAUAUCUACCAACAACACAGCUGUGUAGCGUACAAACAUAUUGCUUGGCGGUGAAUAGAUGGUGUUCACCCUCUAGAACUAUGGGAGCUCCAUAGCGGGAAAUGGGUGAUGCGGGAAUAGGCGGCGUAGCUAACAAUCUGAAAUGGUAACAACAAGAUUGAGCUAAUGCUUAGCAGAAGAAACAAUAAACUCAUAAACCAUUCAAUCUAAUUGACUCUCGAAUCCUAGGACACAACUAACACUCAAGCGAGCAAGCACACGAGAUACCUCAAGCCAUUUUCCAUCACAUGAGUAAUGGCAGCAUGCAUUCAAUGCAGCACGCGUUAUGUUCAAUCACACGGCUCACAAUACUAUACAACGAAUGCACCACUCUUCACACUUUUCAUACACAAUGUCACUAGGGUUUGACCCCGUUUUAACUACUCUACCAAUCCAUACGAGCAGCUCUAGCAGUGACUUCUGGCUCACAAACCAAGCAUCCACGGCUCCUUUGCCACAGGCAUUUCUACUAUGGGACAUCUUGGUUUUUAGCCAAGACAUUCACCUCCGACAUCCACUCUGGGCCUUCAUCAAGCUUUUGAGUUGAACGACUUCUAGGGUUUGUUAUCACUAGCCCAGGCAUCCCUACUAACAUUCAGGGUAUCUUGAUUAUUAGCCAAGGCAUACACCUCCAACAUCCACUCCGGGCCAUCGUCGGACAUCCAAGGUCCAUCGGCCUUCGGCAUCACAUAUACCAAUCCCAUCAAAUGCAUCGCAAGCACCUCACACAUAUGUAAUGUCAUGGAAAUCAUACACCAUGGACCGUACCCCAUGCGAUGCACCGAAUGAACUUUAAGUCACCACAACCAAUUGUCGACACAAAGACACACCUAAAACAAAGCACACUGAAAUUCCAGAUUCUGUCCUCACGAUUGUAACUCAAUGUCCACAAACAAAUGGCCUUAGAUUAAAACCAAAUAUACACCGGUGGGUAGCUAAAUAAAUUUAGUUUCUAUCAUCAGCAAACCAUAAUUUAGGAUUCCAUCAUCUUCCUAUGGAAUUUAACUAAAUUCAGACCAAAGAACAGAACUUACCAGAAUUGCUCAAUCGCGGAUUUCAAAGCCAAAACCAUAGUAAAUGAACUUGAAAAAUUCUAAAAUUUUAUUAUGUCGUAGAGAAGACCUUAAAAAAAAUUAUGAAGAAGACUAAGUCUAAAGCAGUCUGUAUAAAGAGCAGCAAAUGACAUAGAUUCACGCAAGAUCUGAUACGCUGGAAUAGAGCAACCAGUCCUCAAAUUAUACUCAUCUCGCAACCCUAAACAUGUCAAAAAAUUUCAAAUUUUGGAUAUGCUAUAAAUUAGAAUAUCCUCUACAACUUUUAUGAAGGACGUAAGUCCAAAAUCUAAAAGGAAAAUUUUAUAAAAAUUCAGAAAGACAAUUGGUUCACUGUUCCUACUGCACUGGACAGAUCAAGCAUGGUAAAAGAAUAGGCCAUCGUACCAUCCAUAUCAUCUCAGAAAACUCCAAAAUUAAAGCAUGUUAAACUUCAAGACAUCUUGUACAACUUUCAAGGAGGAAGUUUCUUCAAUUUCAAACCACACAAAGCUCCAUAGAAUUAGCAACCCAGCAAGGUCUAGUGACUCUAGUUUGUGAAAAUCCAAACUAAGGCUCUAAAUGAUUUGUGAAUUCAAGCCACACGAGUUCACAGCCCAAGAAUACUCCAAGAUCAAACAUUUUAGACCACAUGCAACAUAUAUCUUCAACCAUAGAUCAGAACUCACAUGCAACACAAUUCGGGCCACAAGAACAACAUGCAUGUCCAUCUUUCGACCAAAUUCCACUACCACAACAUCUUAGCAACCAUUUCUUACCAUCACAGCACACAUGCAAUGCCAUAAACACAAACAAACAUCAAGAACAACAACAAUCCUCCCUAUUCUACAAAAUCAAGCUCCAAGAAGAUCAAAGGAUUUAGGAGAAUGCUGUUUUUCCUUGCCUUGGUGAAUCUACACUUCGGUUUCCUCCUCUAAGCUUCACCAUGAGUUUGUAGAGGUCUUGGGCUUGCUAGUUAGCUUUGGUGAGAAGAAAGGAAUGAGAAAGAGAGGGAAAGAGCUCGCGGGUGAGAGGAAAAAUGAGAGAGAGAGAGAGAGAGAGAGAGAGAGAGAGAGAGAGAGAGAGUUUGCUUCGGCG
rnacentral:lncRNA from 1 species